rnacentral:rRNA from 1 species
CACGGAAUUAGCCGGUCCUUAUUCUAAGGCUACAUGCAACAGGGCACGCGUGCCCCUCUUUAUUCACCUUAAAAAAGCAGUUUACAACCCAUAGGGCCGUCGUCCUGCACGCUACUUGGCUGGUUCAGGCUCUCGCCCAUUGACCAAUAUUCCUCACUGCUGCCUCCCGUAGGAGUUUGGACCGUGUCUCAGUUCCAAUGUGGGGGACCUUCCUCUCAGAACCCCUACUGAUCGAUGCCCUGGUGGCCGUUACCCCGCCAGCAAGCUAAUCAGACGCAUCCCCAUCCAUAACCGAUAAAUCUUUACUCUUAUCCCAUGACAGGCAUAAGAGACCAUAAGGGAUUAGGCCGCAGUUUCACGGGGUAUUCCUUAGUUAUGGGAAGGUUGGAUACGCGUUACUCACCCGUGCGCCGGUGACGACAAAGAUAGCAAGCUAUCUCCCGUUCCCUCACUUGC